UACAGAGGGGGCAAGCGUUAUUCGGAAUUAUUGGGCGUAAAGGGCGCGUAGGCGGCUUUGCAAGUGACGGGUGAAAUCCCUCGGCUUAACCGAGGAACUGCCUGUCAGACUGUAAGGCUUGAGACCGGGAGAGGUGACUGGAAUUCCCGGUGUAGCGGUGAAAUGUGUAGAGAUCGGGAGGAACACCGGUGGCGAAGGCGGGUCUCUGGGCCGAUACUGACGCUGAGGAGCGAAAGCCAGGGGAGCAAACGGG
rnacentral:rRNA from 1 species